rnacentral:tRNA from 1 species
GCGAACGUAGUUCAGUGUGUAGAACAUCACCUUGCCAAGGUGGGGGUCGCGGGUUCGAAUCCCGUCGUUCGCU